AAUAGAUACCCGGGUAGUCCACGCCCUAAACGAUGCGAACUGGAUGUUGGGUACAUUACGGUACUCAGUGUCGAAGCUAACGCGUUAAGUUCGCCGCCUGGGGAGUACGGUCGCAAGACUGAAACUCAAAGGAAUUGACGGGGGCCCGCACAAGCGGUGGAGUAUGUGGUUUAAUUCGAUGCAACGCGAAGAACCUUACCUGGCCUUGACAUCUGUCGAAUCCUGCAGAGAUGCGGGAGUGCCGCAAGGAACGACAAGACAGGUGCUGCAUGGCUGUCGUCAGCUCGUGUCGUGAGAUGUUGGGUUAAGUCCCGCAACGAGCGCAACCCUUGUCCCUAGUUGCCAACACGUAAUGGUGGGAACUCUAGGGAGACUGCCGGUGACAAACCGGAGGAAGGUGGGGAUGACGUCAAGUCCUCAUGGCCCUUACGGCCAGGGCUACACACGUACUACAAUGGUCGGUACAGAGGGUUGCGAAGCCGCGAGGCGGAGCCAAUCCCAGAAAGCCGAUCCCAGUCCGGAUUGGAGUCUGCAACUCGA
rnacentral:rRNA from 1 species